AUGGAAAUCACAUUUGGUGGAGGAACCAGACUGGAUGUUGGAAGUGAAGCCCGUCCCACCUUGAUGGUUCUGCCCCCUUCCAAUGAGGAGCUGCAGCAGGGGAAGGCCACGCUCGUGUGCCUGGCCAACAAGGGCUUCCCCUCAGACUGGAGUCUGGCCUGGAAGGUGGACGGCAUCAGCGGCGGCAGCUGGGAGGAGAGCAGGGGCCCUGCGGUGAUGGAGCAGGACGCUCGUUACAGCUGGAGCAGCACCCUGAGGCUCUCUGCAGGCCAGUGGACGAAGGUGGGCUCUGUGACCUGUGAGGCCACCCAGGGCUCCCAGACGCUGGUCUCAGAGACACUGAGGAGGGACCAGUGUUCCCAGGACUGA